AUACGGAGGGUGCAAGCGUUGUUCGGAUUUAUUGGGCGUAAAGCGCGUGUAGGCGGUUUGGUAAGUCUGAUGUGAAAGCCCCGGGCUCAACCUGGGAAGUGCAUUGGAAACUGUCAGACUUGAAUACGGGAGAGGGUAGUGGAAUUCCUAGUGUAGGAGUGAAAUUCGUAGAGAUCGGGAGGAAUAUCAGUGGCGAAGGCGCCCAUCUGGACGGUAACUGACGCUGAGACGCGAAAGCGUGGGGAGC
rnacentral:rRNA from 1 species